AAACCAACUGGGAUUACCUUAGUAACGGCGAGUGAAGCGGUAAAAGCUCAAAUUUGAAAUCUGGUACUUUCAGUGCCCGAGUUGUAAUUUGUAGAAUUUGUCUUUGAUUAGGUCCUUGUCUAUGUUCCUUGGAACAGGACGUCAUAGAGGGUGAGAAUCCCGUUUGGCGAGGAUACCUUUUCUCUGUAAGACUUUUUCGAAGAGUCGAGUUGUUUGGGAAUGCAGCUCAAAGUGGGUGGUAAAUUCCAUCUAAAGCUAAAUAUUGGCGAGAGACCGAUAGCGAACAAGUACAGUGAUGGAAAGAUGAAAAGAACUUUGAAAAGAGAGUGAAAAAGUACGUGAAAUUGUUGAAAGGGAAUGGCAUUUGAUCAGACAUGGUGUUUUUGCAUGCACUCGCCUCUCGUGGGCUUGGGCCUCUCAAAAAUUUCACUGGGCCAACAUCAAUUCUGGCGGCAGGAUAAAUCAUUAAGAAUGUAGCUACUUCGGUAGUGUUAUAGCUUUUUGGAAUACUGUUAGCCGGGU
rnacentral:rRNA from 1 species